GGGGCAUUCGGGCCUACCAAAUAACGCUGAAGGUUCUGUCGCGUACUCUCACAUGAGGAAGGUGUUUCACUUGUGCGUGUAGCUGGCACAGAUCGACCAGGUCCUCUCCUUGCAACAGGAGCUCCACCAACACCAGCAGCACCACGACCAGGACCACGUCCCUUAUUUGACGCUCCUCAUUCUUUGCGUUCGCCCACCAAACUAACAGAGGGUUUAUGUCAGGCGACAAUGUAACCGCCAAU